rnacentral:rRNA from 1 species
GACGUAGGGGGCAAGCGUUGUCCGGAAUCAUUGGGCGUAAAGCGCUCGUAGGUGGAUCGGUAAGUCUGCAAAGAAAGACCCGGGCUCAACUCGGGGAACGGUGUGGAUACUACCGAUCUUGAGGCAAUCAGAGGAUGAUGGAAUUUCCGGUGUAGCGGUGAAAUGCGUAGAGAUCGGAAGGAACACCAGUGGCGAAGGCGGCUACCUGGACAAAUACUGACGCUGAGGCGGCGAGAGCGUGGGGAGCAAAC